AAUUAUCAACCAGCUGAGCAGUACCCAGUCUAUGCUUCUGAGAAGCCAGCCAGCAGUCUUGUUGAAUUGUUCAAAAGCAUGCACAUUGAUGAAGAAGAAGCCGCCCCAGUUGAAAAUGGAGAUCUGGAUCAUGAGGAGUUAGAGGAGAAUGGAGAAGAUCAAGGUGAAGUACAUACCAUUGAGGAGGACUCAGACUCCAUGAAUGGUGUUGUUCUUGUGAAUGGCACCCAGGAGGAAGAGUAGCCUACAGAUGCUGAGAGAAGUUCAUCAACAUAAAAUCAAUCUUCAUGAUGACUUGUAAAACGUUCCAAUGUACAACCUGGAACGGUUCCCUUGUAGUUUCCAUUAGGAUAGUUAUAUUCUUGUGAUACUUUACAAUUUAUAUAUUACAACACAGUGACACACCUUAUAUUAGGUUGCCAGAAAGAGACCCAUCCAGGGGCCCUGUGGCUGCGGGUGGCCUUUGAUUUUG